rnacentral:lncRNA from 1 species
UAAUGCUUCAAACAUCUUCCCUCACAACACUCCGACCACGAAAGAAGCAUACUAUUAUAGGAUGAUCUUCGAAAGGUUCUUCCCUCAGGUGAUUACCGUUAAAAAUAUGUUACUAGGAUUUGAAUACAAGAUUCGGUUUUUUGGUAAAAAUAUAUAUAUUGCAUUUUAUUCUCUCUACUAAAAAAAGAUAAAUUAGUCAUUGUAUAUUAUAUUAAAGAGUAAAUUAGUUAUUCUGUUAAAAAUUUCAACUAUUAAAAAUUGGUCCCUGCAUACCAACAUAAGGUAUGCGUAACACGUCACAUGUUACUAUCUGGUUAUUCCAACAACAACGCUAGCUUUUAAUAGUAUAAAUAAGUUUAAUAGCAUUGUCCAAUUUGCUAUUUGAACUAACUCCUAGAACAGAGACCUUUAUAAUACCUUUACCUCGAAUUUUUCCUUAGUCAAGAUGAUCAUUAUAUUUGCUUGUUUUACUAGAACUCGGCACGAUUGACCGUCCCGGGAGGAGCAAGUGUAGCAUGCAGCACGGCCAAAGCUGUCGAAUGGGAUGCCACUUGGAAGAACAACCUUGACCCGUCGGGCAGAGCAGCACUUGGAGUGCAUCUCUCGGCUUACGACGCGGAGACACCUUUCGAUAACAAGCCGUCCAAGAUUGUUGAGUCAAUACCGUUGAUGAUGGAGAUUCCUGGAGUUGCCAUA